GAUGUCGGUGAACAGCCCGUCCAGGUAGAACGCCCGGAACGCCUCCAGGAAGCCGGCGGGAUGCCCGGAGUCCUUGUAUAGCAAAAGGUUUUCUGCAAUGGACACCUUUAUUUGAAACACAGCAUCCUCUGGGUUCAAGCAGCUGUGGUCCUCCCUCAUCUGCAGAAGAGUUUGGAUCCAGCCAGGCUCUGCUGGGUUGAAGGGACUGGCAAUGGUUUCUCCUACCAAAAGGAGGUUGGGUAUUUGUUAUUGUGCCAGCAAUACUCAAAAGGAGAAAUUAGGAGAGCUCCUGCUCUACACAGAUGAAAAAGCAUCAUAUUUUUCUUUCAAUUACUAGUGGUUCUUCCUCCACAAUGCCCACCAGAAGCACGAACUAAAGAAAUCCAAACAGGAACAUGUAUGUGGACAUACCUCUCUGCCAUCCUUCUUCCUGUACUAACUGCAACAGGACUCAAACUUGCUCCUGGCCUUUAUACAGUAACAUGAGACAAAAAUAAACUCACCCAAACAAACAAAAAACCCCCACAAAAACAAAAAGUACACCUUCACACUUCUUUACCUUCUGUUUCUUCAACCCCUCUUGAUGCAUCGCUAGCCCAGAGAAUUGGAGUUUUGCAGUGUAACCCAGGAAUCAGCAACAGCCCUGCUGUCUCUGCCAUGAGACUGUUCCUCAGCUACAAUUAUCCCAUUUCUUUCUCUGGAGCAUUCCCUUGUACAACCCUAAGUCUGUUUAUACAUCCCCACAUCAAGAGAUUUGUUUUGCUGUGGUUUUGCAUUUUCCAUUUCAUCAGCUUCCUAUGGACAAGCAGGAACUUCUUCCAAGUCUUGGCCAUCCUACUAGCACACAAUACUAAGUACUCUCCAUAGUAGCUGGUGUAUGGUGGCAGACCUGUCACCAUACAGAGUUUCCCAUACACAGAUGCCUUCCAUUAUGCAUUUCUUUACAUGACAUUUUACCCAAGCCAUCUCCCUCCCAGACAGCACGUAGAUUUAAACUGUCAGCAAGUCUGGAGGUCAGCAACACUUAGUACUGAACAUACAUCCCCUUCAAGGAGCUUCUCUCUUUCUCUUUUGGCUGGAUUACCAGCUCAAACCACCUUCACCUUUUGGAGAUACUCAUCUCCCCUUCAUGAUAACCAAAUGUGGAAAAAUUUGGUAAUUGUGAUGCUUCAGAAAAGUCCUCUCUUUUAUUAAGGGGGGAAGGAAAAACCCAAACAAGACUUGGUUAACAGCUUAAUGGUCUGCCUACUGGAAUUCAAAAAUUUCUUCUGUCUCCAACAUGCACUUUGUCUAGCAAAUGGCAUCAGCUCUACCCUCUACUUGAAGUAAUUAGAUCAUAAUUGCUAAUAUUUCAAGUAGUCUAUUUUACUUAAUCUGCUCUCAACUCCUGCUUCAGUAAUUUCAUCAAAACCAGAAAAAGAACCCCUUUUUGAGUGUGAAGAUUAAUUUCUCACCCAAUCUCACUCUCACAGCAAACUAUGAGAUAGGUUCCUUAAGGCCAAAAGAGCAAUAAUUAAUGUAAGUGGCAAAAAAAAGCUGAGUAAUUACUGACAUACUACUUUUUUGGGUUUUUUAAGUAAGCAGUAUCUGAGAUCUGUGGACAAACUGAAAGCAAGCUAUACCACAACUAAGUUCUAAAAUCACAGAAGAGAUCAGCACAGAACAUGGAACAUUCAGUAGUACAUCUAGAAUUAAAGACACACACAACUGUCCUGCUUUCAGCUGGGAUAGAGUUAAUUUUCUUCUUAGUAGCUGGUUCACUGCUGUGUUUUGGGUUUACUGUGGGAAUCAUGCUGACAACACACUGAUGUUUUGGAUGUUGCUAAGUGGUGCUUACCCUAAGUCAAGGACUUUUUAGUUUCCCAUGCUCUGCCAGUGAGGAGCUGCACAAGGAACCGCAGGGAACAUGGCCAGGACAGCUGACCCGAAGAGGCCAAAGGGAUAUUCCACAGCAUAGGAUGUCACACUCAGUACACAGACUGGGGGGAGUUGGCUGGGAGGGGCCCAUCACUGCUUGGGGGUGGGCUGGGCACUGGUCAGCAGGUGGUGAGCAACUGUGUUGGGCAUCACUUUUUUCUCCCGGACUUCUUUCCUUUAUCUCUCCUUUUCAUUACAAUUAUCAUAAUAAUUUAGUACUAUAUGUAGCAGAAUACUCUAUUGUAUUUUGUUUCAAUUAUUAAACUGUUCUUAUCAAA